UAACAUUGGUCUCUUACAAGAACUUAUGGUC
rnacentral:piRNA from 1 species